rnacentral:tRNA from 1 species
CGUGGCGUAUGGUCCGCUGUGACUACGGUAUCCCCUGCUUCGGGAGCAGGAGGUCGGAGGUUCAAAUCCUCUCGCCCCGA